CAUAAUUCAUUUGAAAAUUAAGGUCUUUCCGAAUCGACUUGACUUGCACAGAAAUGUUUGCCACGGGUCUUUACUCAAACAACGAUUCACUCAUAAAUGCAUUACUUAAAAAGUGUGAGGUAAAUGUAUUGUUUGUCUAGUACAUGUAUCUCGGAUCCGUUAAAUUACCCUUAAAACUAAAGAAAAAAAACAUUACCCCCUCCCUUUGCCAAAUACUCCUUGGAGAAGAAAUACCAUUU
rnacentral:lncRNA from 1 species